UAUAAACAUCAAUAUCAUUGUUGUCAUAGAACAUAAUGACCCAUUUUCUCAUAUUUGGGGAAAGCAAAUUUUACCACUAUUUAGUUCAUAUAAGCAUCUGAGCUAUUAUAGUUAAGUGAAAGAAAUAUAAAUUUCCUCAAAAAAUAAAAACUAUGAAUAUGAAUGAGAAUCUAUCUCAUCGUUUCUAGAUUCCAUGUUUUACCAGUAUCAAAACUAACUUAUAUGAAAUGUUCCAAACAGAGAAUCUGUCCAGCUUCCAGAUUGCAAAUAUUUGAGAAAAAAUAUAUAUCUCAUUUACCCAGUGAACAGUCUAUAAAUUGGACAUUCACAGAGGCACAAGAUCAUUAACUAUCCUUUCAGAAGUCAAUUUUCUGCUUCCUAAAUUAGAUCUAGAGCUAGGCUAUUUUCGUACUGUAGGCUGGGAAUAAUAUACAGAUUUUGUGAAAUCAGGUUUAGACCGUUUUCAGCUAAAUCACAUUCAGUUCAAUAACAACCACUGAAAACAAAGAAGAGCCCAUAAAAACAAGUUGCAGAAAACUCUUUUCUGUCAAAAUGGGCCAAAGCAUUUUGCUACAUGGAAUAAAGCAUGAUCAUCAUCUCCCUCUCUUUUUACUGACGUGCUUCCUGUGGAAAAUGUGGCCUUUGGGUUUGAAACAAAUGUCUAGUUCCCAAUUUGGGGAAAAAUAUGGAGGAAAUCUGAUUAUUUGCAUUUGGGUAACAUGCCUAUUGUUGGAGCAAUCAACUAUAUCUAAGAAAAGACUGCAUCAAUUAACCUACUUAGAAUUUAAUGCCAACCACUAG
rnacentral:lncRNA from 1 species